UAGGAUUCCCUUAGUAGCGGCGAGCGAACAGGGAAAAGCCCAGCACUGAAUCCCGCGGCCGAAACCGGACGCUGGGAAAUGUAGUGUUAGGGAGGAUCCGUUAUCUCGAAGUUGCAAAGUGCGUCCAAGUCCUUCUUGAACGGGGCCAUAAUCCAUAGAGGGUGCCAGGCCCGUAGAGACUGCUUACAAUUUCGAGAGGAUUUCUCCUCAGAGUCGGGUUGCUUGAGAGUGCAGCCCUAAGUGGGUGGUAAACUCCAUCUAAGGCUAAAUAUGACCACAAGACCGAUAGCGAACAAGUACCGUGAGGGAAAGUUGAAAAGAACUUUGAAGAGAGAGUUCAAUAGUACGUGAAACCGUUCAGGGGUAAACCUGAGAAACCCGAAAGGUCGAACGGGGAGAUUCAGCGUGUCUCAUAUGAAGCGCUGUGAUUGUUGUGCGACAAAUUUCUCUUUAUUGAGUAUAAUUUGCGCUUUCAGUUCAGUUAAGCUACAAUCGAACAUGUGCACUUCUCCCCCAGUAGAACGUUGCGAUCCGUUGGGUGUCGGCCUAAGGCCCGUGGUGGAGCCCGUCUGUGCGGCUUGCCGUUUCGGACGAACCCAUGGUGUUUUCCCGGUCGACACACUCGACGGUAUACAGAAAGGCGCAAGGCCGCAAAACUUUUAGUUUGCGUUUGACCUGUAGCAAGCGCACUUGCUGUGCCGGUGAUCGGACCUAGUGCCGGUCCUGGCUACAAGUGGCUGUUAGUUGCAGUGUUCUCGAACAGACCUUGUUUAUGAAACGCCAAUCUGCAACGCUAUAGCUUUGGGUACUUUCAGGACCCGUCUUGAAACACGGACCAAGGAGUCUAGCAUGUGCGCAAGUCAUUGGGAUAUUACUAAACCUAAAGGCGUAAUGAAAGUAAAAGUUCGUCUUGCACGGACUUAGGGAGGAUGGGUGAUCUUUAUAAGAUUGCCUCGCACUCCCGGGGCGUCUCAUUCUCAUUGCGAGAAGAGGCGCACCUAGAGCGUACACGCUGGGACCCGAAAGAUGGUGAACUAUGCCUGGUCAGGACGAAGUCAGGGGAAACCCUGAUGGAGGUCCGUAGCGAUUCUGACGUGCAAAUCGAUCGUCGGAACUGGGUAUAGGGGCGAAAGACUAAUCGAACCAUCUAGUAGCUGGUUCCCUCCGAAGUUUCCCUCAGGAUAGCUGGCGCUCGUUGCAUACGAGUUUCAUCCGGUAAAGCGAAUGAUUAGAGGCAUUGGGGUCGAAACGGCCUCAACCUAUUCUCAAACUUUAAAUGGGUGAGAUCUUCGGCUUGCUCGAACUCUUGAAGCCGCAAGACUCGAAUCAGAGUGCCAAGUGGGCCAUUUUUG
rnacentral:rRNA from 1 species